rnacentral:rRNA from 1 species
GUGGGGAAUAUUGCACAAUGGGCGCAAGCCUGAUGCAGCAACGCCGCGUGUGGGAUGACGGCCUUCGGGUUGUAAACCACUUUCAGCGCCGACGAAGCGAAAGUGACGGUAGGCGCAGAAGAAGCACCGGCCAACUACGUGCCAGCAGCCGCGGUGAUACGUAGGGUGCGAGCGUUGUCCGGAAUUAUUGGGCGUAAAGGGCUCGUAGGCGGUCCGUCACGUCGGAAGUGAAAACUCAGGGCUUAACCCUGAGCCUGCUUCCGAUACGGGCGGACUAGAGGUAUGCAGGGGAGAAUGGAAUACCUGGUGGAGCGGUGGAAUGCGCAGAUAUCAGGUGGAACACCAGUGGCGAAGGCGGUUCUCUGGGCAUUACCUGACGCUGAGGAGCGAAAGCGUGGGGAGCAAACAGGCUUAGAAACCCUAGUAGUCC